rnacentral:rRNA from 1 species
AGAGAGAGACAUGCGCGCAUAUCAAUAAGCGGAGGAAAAGAAACUAACUAGGAUUCCCUCAGUAACGGCGAGUGAAGCGGGAAGAGCUCAAAUUUGAAAUCUUCAAGGUUCUACCUUGACGAAUUGUAGUUUAAAGAAGUGUUUUCUGUUGGAGUUUUGGUAAAAGUUCUUUGGAAUAGGACAUCAUAGAGGGUGAGAAUCCCGUAUUUGACCAUUAUUUCCAGCUUUGUGAUACACUUUCAAAGAGUCGGAUUGUUUGGGAAUGCAGUCCAAAAUGGGUGGUAAAUUUCAUCUAAAGCUAAAUACUGGCGAGAGACCGAUAGCGAACAAGUACCGUAAGGGAAAGAUGAAAAGAACUUUGAAAAGAGAGUUAAACAGUACGUGAAAUUGUCAAAAGGGAAGCGUUUGACACCAGUGUUGUUUUCUCGAAAAUCAAUUAAAAAAGGCAGGAUUUUGUGUUGUAUUGACUUUAUCAGCUUUCUGCACUCUUUUCUUGUCUUUUUUAAUGCACUUUUCGUUUAACAAGUCAACAUCAAUUUCUUUUGUUGUAAAAGGGUCAUUGGAAGGUGGCUUUCUUUUCGGAGAAAGUGUUUAUAGGCCUUUGGCCUCUGCAAUCGGAGAGAUUGAGGUCUGCAGCGUAGAUCCUUCGGGGUUAGAUACAUUUGUGCUAAGUUAUAGCCUUUCAUAGACAACUUGUUGACUAUGAUCAGUCAUGUAGCUUACUCGCUUAUGCUAUUUUACCUACGCUUAGGAUGUUGAUGUGAUACUGCGAGCA